CAUCUAUCUACUUGACAAAGCCGCGAUGAGACACGGUCGCUGCUAGAUCCUUUAAUCGCUCCUUUCCUCUUCUCUUCCUCUCUCCCAACUUCCUCUUCUCCGUCCGUAUCAUCCUCUAAUUCUUCAUCCACAAGCUUAAGGCUCUAGUCUUGAAGAGGAAUUGGAAGCUGCUGUAGCCUAAGAAAUGUUAUGGGACUUGGUGAUAUUGUUGACGAGGUUGAAGCAUUUUGAAGUAUUUAAAAGAAUUAUAUAUAUGUAUCUGACUGAAACUGGAAUACUAGAAUUACUGGUUAGUGAAAGAGACAAGACACAAAGGUUUCACAUGCCACAUUGUACUCUCCCUGAUGCAACUUAGCUUUUUUUUUGUUUUUGUUUUCCAAAAGCUGUAUUUGUUGUUUAUGAAUAAAUGAAUGCGUAAUUAUGUAGUCUCUAAGAGUUUUCGGUUUGGU